UCGGGAUAGCUCAGCCGGUAGAGC
rnacentral:tRNA from 2 species